GGUCAAUGAUGAACAGUAAAAGGUCUGAUUACCCAGAAUCCCCUCCUAGCUGCCCUUUGGCUCCCAGCAACUCUUGCUCUCUAACCAUCAUGCUCAAGUGAUGCAGUGCUGGUCCCAGGAGCUGCUGACAGAGCUGGAUGUGACAUCACAGUUUGAGUCUAAGAGACCCUAUUGGCUCAGUGUGAUAAUGGGCAUCCAACAUAACAAAUCAGCAUGGAGCAUCGGGGUGUGGGAGGAGGAUGGGGCACUGAUCUCAAGUUUUCAAGCUGAGACC